GACGAACGCUGGCGGCGCGCUUAACACAUGCAAGUCGAGCGAAGCGGCGGACGGGUGAGUAACACGUGAGUAACCUGCCUUAGACAUUGGGAUAGCCUCGGGAAACCGGGAUUAAUACCAAAUGGUCUAAGAUGGACUCGCGUCCCAUUAGCUAGUUGGUGGGUAACGGCCCACCAAGGCGACGAUGGGUAGCCGGACUGAGAGAGUGAACGGCCACAUCGGAACUGAGACACGGUCCAAACUCUACGGGAGGUAGCAGUGGGGAAUACUGCACAAUGGAGGGAACUCGGAUGCAGCGACGCCGCGUGAAUUAAGAAGGCUGUCGAGUCGUAAAGUUCUUUUAUAUGGGAAGCGGUACCAUAAGAAAAAGCCCCGGCUAACUACGUGCCAGCCGCCGCGGUAAUAC
rnacentral:rRNA from 1 species